AAGGCUACUAUCUAGACUCGAAUGCUUUCAUACAAGUGAUUUUCAAAAAUUAGUCAAUAAAAAUUGAUGUCAGUGCAGGCCCAGGCCCGCCCCCAGAUACACUAGUUUCUAGGUCUGGGGCCAGCCUAGUAAUUGUUACUAGGCACACAGGUGAUGCUGACUCGAUGGCCUGAGACACACCCCUUGAGAAGAAGCUGCUCUGGGGAGACGAGGGUAUGAGUGGAAAGAGGAUGGGCGAGGAGGCCGGGCUUACCUGGACACUAAGGUGAUGGACGGCGUCUGCUGGGCAGGCCUCGGGGAGGACCCCUCAGCUUUGCUCUCAGCAGGGGCCCGACAAGCUCAGUGGGCAGUGGCAGGAACUGAGUGCCACUGGAAAGCCCAUUCCCUUUAUUUAGAAAACGAGCUCCAGGAAGCCGCUACUUUGUGUCCAUUUCUCUUGAGGAAACUUACCACCUUGGUUGAGCGGCUUCAUGGCAGACAGCAGCGAGCCAGCGGCCGGACUCUGUAUUUCGGACCCCACUCCAGUGCUCCCUGGGUCAUACCAGGAUCUGCCUCUGUCCACAAAGAUGAGGGAAAAUGAUGACUGUGCUGUGCUCUCUACUUCCUGCGGUUACUGCGUGAUUCUAAAGCUGCCACUCGGAACAGCGAGUCCUCUGCCGUCGAGAGCAGGGAGGGGUAGGGUGGACAGGCGAUGCCGUGGAAAGACGUCUCGGUGGAAACUGCCAUGGUGGAAAGGUGGCGCGCUUCUCACGGCUGAGUUGCUGCGCCUGCAGACGGAAGCUCCCCACAGGCAGAGCUGCUUGGAUGUGUGAGUCAUGAAGCCAGAGAAGCCCCGCUCCAUGAGCAGUGACUCCCCAGGCCGGGCACUGUGGCUCACGCGUGUAAUCCCAGCACUUUGGGAGGCCGAGGCGGGCGGAUCACAAGGUCAGGAGAUCAAGACCAUCCUGGCCAACAUGGUGAAAUGCCGUCUCUACUAAAAAUACAAAAAUUAGCUGGGUGUGGUGGCAUGUGCCUGUAAUCCCAGCUACUCCGGAGGCUGAGGCAGGAGAAUCGCUUAAACCCGGGAGGCGGAGGUUGCAGUGAGCUAAGAUCACGCCACUGCACUCCAGCCUAGUGACCAAGUGAGACUGUCUCAAAAAAAUAAAUAAAU
rnacentral:lncRNA from 10 species